rnacentral:rRNA from 1 species
GAUGAACGCUGGCGGCGUGCCUAAUACAUGCAAGUCGAGCGAACAGACGAGGAGCUUGCUCCUUUGACGUUAGCGGCGGACGGGUGAGUAACACGUGGAUAACCUACCUAUAAGACUGGGAUAACUUCGGGAAACCGGAGCUAAUACCGGAUAACAUGUUGAACCGCAUGGUUCAACAGUGAAAGACGGUCUUGCUGUCACUUAUAGAUGGAUCCGCGCCGCAUUAGCUAGUUGGUAAGGUAACGGCUUACCAAGGCAACGAUGCGUAGCCGACCUGAGAGGUGGAUCGGCCACCCUGGAACUGAGACACGGUCCAGACUCCUACGGGAGGCAGCAGUAGGGAAUCUUCCGCAAUGGGCGAAAGCCUGACGGAGCAACGCCGCGUGAGUGAAGAAGGUCUUCGGAUCGUAAAACUCUGUUAUUAGGGAAGAACAAAUGUGUAAGUAACUAUGCACGUCUUGACGGUACCUAAUCAGAAAGCCACGGCUAACUACGUG